AAGAUACUAUCAUGAACCAUAACUUUUGACAUUUCAGGUGAAUUAGGAAUUAAAAUAGAUAUCUAGUCAAAAAAAAAAACUAACCAAUCAAUCUUAUGCCUAGUACCAUCCUUUCUCAGAAUUUCAAUUUCAUCUAUAGGGACAUAUGGGGUAAGUCCGAAAAUUGGGCACAUAUUAAUUGGGAACAAUAAAUCCCAAAUAAAAGAUGGACAAUGACAAAAUAUAGCAACAAUGAGUAACACACUGGUAGCUGCAUAAAAUUAGAAGAAAACAUAUACACCUGCGACUCUUAAUUAAGCUCAUGCUAAUUAAUUAACUCCAACUCACACCAAUCACCACUGCUCCAUGAAAUAUCUCAUCUCAAAAAGACUGGAGCGGUGCCCUACAAAUUGGGACUUUUAUUACCAUUGUGAAUUAAAAUAUUUCACCAAGCGGACAAUACAUGUUAAAUCAUGCAUUUAGUUCAUAAUGCAUCUAAAGUAAAGUAAUAUUUGAAGCACUACCUGAUUAUGGAUAUAUUUAUAAAAUUGGAUCAUCAAAAUGUUUUUAUCUAAAGAAUUCGAGAGAAUAUAUUCAAGUAUUAUACUGUAAAUAGAUGUUUCUCUUACUUAACAUUACUAUUUGCUUACUGUAAUUAGAUGAUGAAGAAAGAAAAAAUAAUUAUUUAUUGUUUUAGGCAUACCAUCAAACAUCAUGGGUGCAUCAGUGUGCAAAAGGAAUUAGGUUUGCUUACCGAAAAAUCAGAUUCUGUAUUCAUUAAUUAUACAUAAGCAUGCACCUAGGCAUCGAUUUUCACAUAUGCAGAAACAUAGAUCAUGCACCCCAAGUAUUUUAUUCCUAAACAUCUAUGUGAAAAGAGGUAAAAAUAGUGGCAUGCAGAUAAAACAUAAACCAAAAAUUUUCAACAUAAGAGGAAAACUAACUAAAAGAUAUUUAUCAAAAUUCCAUCGCAAAGGAAUUAGUGCAAAAAGAAAACAAAGAAAGAAACAUGAAAAAACUCACCGUAAAAUCACAGGCAUAGAAGAGCCGAAGAGGUGAAAAGAAAUCGCAAAUAUAAAAUCUGGAAAUCAAACAAAAAUAUAAAAGUGAGAGGGAUGAAGUAAGAAUGAAGGGAAGCUGAAAUAAAAUCCGGAGUAAAGCACAGAACAAGCGACUAUUGAGUGCACAUCUAAUUAUUUGUAAACGGUGUGGCCUACCUGAGAAAUUUACAGAGCAAAAAUGCACUUUCAGAU
rnacentral:lncRNA from 1 species